rnacentral:rRNA from 1 species
UACGUAGGGUGCAAGCAUUAAUCGGAUUUAUUGGGCGUAAAGGGCGCGUAGGCGGGCCCGUAAGUCGUAUGUGAAAUCCCGGGGCUCAACCCCGGAACAGCAUAUGAAACUGCGGAACUAGAGGGUAGGCGGAGAAAACGGAAUUCCACAAGUAGCGGUGAAAUGCGUAGAUAUGUGGAAGAACACCGGUGGCGAAGGCGGUUUUCUAGCUUAUACCUGACGCUAAAGCGCGAAAGCAAGGGGAUCAAACAGG